rnacentral:rRNA from 1 species
CUUUUGACAUGCCUGGACAAACCGAGAGAUCAGUCUUUCCCUUCGGGGACUGGGACACAGGUGCUGCAUGGCUGUCGUCAGCUCGUGUCGUGAGAUGUUGGGUUAAGUCCCGCAACGAGCGCAACCCUCGCUGUUAGUUGCCAUCAUUUAGUUGGGAACUCUAACAGGACUGCCGGUGCUAAGCCGGAGGAAGGUGGGGAUGACGUCGAGUCCUCAUGGCCCUUACGAGGUGGGCUACACACGUGCUACAAUGGUGACUACAGAGGGCAAAUCCCUAAAAGUCAUCUCAGUUCGGAUCGUCCUCUGCAACUCGAGGGCGUGAAGUUGGAAUCGCUAGUAAUCGCGGAUCAGCAUGCCGCGGUGAAUA